UACAGAGGUCCCAAGCGUUGUUCGGAUUCACUGGGCGUAAAGGGUGCGUAGGUGGCCGGGUAAGUCUGACGUGAAAUCUCCGGGCUUAACUCGGAAAGGUCAACUGAUACUGUGCGACUAGAGUGCGGAAGGGGCAACUGGAAUUCUCGGUGUAGCGGUGAAAUGCGUAGAUAUCGAGAGGAACACCUGCGGCGAAGGCGGGUUGCUGGGCCGACACUGACGCUGAUGCGCGAAAGCCAGGGGAGCGAACGGG
rnacentral:rRNA from 1 species